UGUUUUCAGCACCUGUCUCCAAUCAGCCUUAUCACCACCGGUAUAUAAACCUGCCUGUUCCAGGAAAUCCUCGCCGAAGUAUUGCAGCUACUUUCAGUGUGUGUUUUCCCCCCGUGUUCCUGAUCCACGUAAUUCCUACCGCCAAGCCAGCCGCCUGUCCUCACCACUGCCUGCCACCUGUCCACACCGCCGCCUGCCAACCCACCUCGGACCACCGCCAUUACCUUUCAUCAAUAAACUAUUCAACCUUUCA